rnacentral:tRNA from 1 species
GGGGGUAUAGCUUAGUUGCUAGAGUGCUUGCCUCACAUGGCCAAGGCCCUGGGUUCAAACCCCAGCACCACUU